UGUAUCUUUAUGAAAUAAACGCAGCCUUGGUGAGCAGAAGAAACUUCUUUGCAUUCAUAAAAUAAAUUAAAUCAUUCUUAAAACUGAUGGUUCAAAGAUGUUCCAGUGAAAUUCCACUUUGUCUGUGAACGCAGUGAGUCAAUAAUAAUGAGAUGAUCCUCCAUUCCCAGGCAGACACCAGAAUCAUGACCUUAUCAGAGAGAGACGCUUGUCUCAGAUUCCCAUUAAAGAUCUCAUGAUUCUCAUCCAAUGCUGUUUCUGAUCUAAAGGGAUGUUGUGCUGCUUAGAUUCUCUGAUGGAAGUUUCAAAAGUGUUAUUUUAGUAUUUUUCUAUACUAUAGGAGGUAUAUUAGUGGUCUAAUGUAGCUGUGAGGCCAGUAGAGGACACUAGAGUCACUAGAGCAAAGCUUCUUAUUCUUCCUUUCCCUUCAUUUCAUCUUCCCCUGCAAAUGUUUAACUACCAGUUGAGGGAGUUCUGUGAUCUGAUAAGUCUCAAAUAAUAAACUCACAAAUAAAAAGAGUGAGUCAUAAGAUUGGAAACGUUCCAUCUGCAAAACUCCUUUAACAUGCACUGGUAACUAAAAUAUAUAGUAGGCCUACUACACUCUAAAAAAUCUUGGGUUCUUUUUUCUACCCAAGUCCUGGGUUGAGCCUUCUUGGGUUAUUUUUUGGGGGUUAUUUUUUAGUUUUUGUGUUACCCAGCUCCUGGGUCAGACAUAACUUAGGGGUUGGGUUACUUUUUCGCUGGCUUUUUGCGCCCUCUUCAGGAGAGAGCAGUGCAUCUCCGUCAAAUUGGUGAAUGUUUUCGGUUCAAUACAGGGCCGCGAUGUGAGACACCGAAAGAAGUGUUUUCGUGUGAUGGAAACGCCUGAUGCCUUGCAUGAAAUAUUAUGGAGUCAGUCAUAGUCAAUUUCGGAUAUGAGUGAAACACAGGGCGGCGGUCGAAGUUAUCAGUUCCCCCGCCGAACGCGAGUCAUCUCCGGCACGAGAUCCAGCGCUGUUACGGUGGAAACAGGACAACAGAGACUGGUCCAUUACACCUGAAUUACUUCUAAAUGUUUCAUUUUUACUUAUUAUAUUUGUUAAAUGAGCUUAAAUGUAGGCAAUAUGUAUUUAAAAAAAUGAUAUAAUAUAUGCUAAAUAUAAUUGAAAAUAAAUGAAUUAUCAUGCAAACC